CAAGAGUUGCUGGACAAAGCAACCCGGGAAGAAGAAGGCGUGAGGCUAACGAAGAUGCGAUAACGGCAAGAAAGAAGAAACAGCUCACACCAGCCAGGGAGAGGAGAUACCUGCGCGUGAGACCCAAUCGGCUCAAGGAGUUUGUUAUGCUUGGGACGCUGGGAGGAGUUUGUUAUCCUAAUUUUUGUUAGCCUUUUCUUUUGUUGCUUGAGUAUAUAUACUCCCUGUAAUAGAAUUAUGAUUUUUACGCUGAAUGAAGAGCUGAAAAGCAUUUGGGAGUUUUGUAUUGACUCGAAGAAUACUCUUAUUUAUCCAUUUUGGGUAUUAUUGGUGCCUUCAUUCUCAAUUCCUCACCAUGAAGAAUGAAGAGAUUGUUGCUAUGUUUCAAGAGAUGAAGAGCAGCUUCAAGGAAUACUCUGAAACUCAGUAUAAAUUUUUUACUGAGUUGCUGAACCAACACUCAGUCAAGACCGAUGAGAAGCUUUCUCAAAUGUCACAAGCCACACCGACAGCUGCUGCUAAUCCACCGACAUCGGAGACGGAGGGGAAGGGAAGCGCAGCUCGGGAAACUGGGCGUUUUGCUGGUCGACGAUUGGACUUCGAGCCAGAUUGUCGCGAUCUGAAUUCGAUUCUCAAGACCUUGCGGGUUAAGGUUCCCAGGUUUGAUGGAUUAAAUAUGGAUGAUUGGAUUUGUAAGAUUAAUGCUUUUUUUGAUCUACACAGGGUUGAUCACGAUAUGAGACUUGCUGUGGUAGCUUUUCAUUUGGAUGGAGCUCCUUCUACCUGGUUUUAGUGGAUGAAAAAGGGUGGUUCAAUUACAGAGUGGGACUCUUUAAUUAAGACGUUGCAACAACGUUUUGGAACAUCAAUCUAUGAUGACCCAUUAGGAAGAAUUUCUUAGCUCACUCAAGUCGGAAGGGUGUUGCGGAGUUUGAGUCUUUUAUACCCCAAAUCACUGGAGUUGCGGAGUCCAUGUUUUUGAAUUUUUUUAUCUGGGGACUUAAGUUGGAAAUUCGGAGAGAGCUGUUUAUGGCUAGGCCUGUUGACUUGGCUGAUGCUAUGGCCAAAGCACAAUUGUUUGAAUAUAGGAAUGACGAUUUGGUGGCUCGACAGGGCCCGGAGCGUACUCAAUUGGGGUGGUCGACGAGGACCUCAAUCACUACUCAGGGAUUUCAGCCAACCUCAUUUAGUUCUUACAAACAGGGGUCUACUUCGAGCACUGCCUCAGGUCAGCACACCUCUGCAGAGUCAGGUAUUACUCCCUUACCUAUCAAGAAACUUACACCUGCUGAGAUAGAGGGAUGUACUAUACAUGUGAUGAAAAGUUUAACUAUGGUCACAAAUGCAAAAAUAAGAUGUUGAUUAUUUGUGUGUUAGAAGAUGAUGGUGUUGAGACAGGCAUAGAAACAGAAGGGCAGAAAUUGGAGGACGCAGCGGAAGUUAAAGAGGCUUUAGCAGCUCAGUUGGGCCUUUCUUGUGAGGAAACAAAACGUUUCAAGGUAUACAUCGGGAAUGGUAAUUUCUUUCUGUGUUCGAAAAUAUUUAGAUCUGUGGAGUUGGUUUUACAAGGUCAUAGUUUUGUGGUGGACCUUUAUGUUCUUCCAAUAUGCGGGUUGGAUGUGGUACUUGGAAUGCGAUGGCUGCAAACUCUUGGGCCUUGUGUUCAUGAUCAUAAGGCGCUAACUAUGUAGUUCACUUGGCAAGGUAGUGUGGUUAAACUUGCAGGGUCGCAGGAACUAGCUGCUUACCAACUUUCUUACACACAAUUUCAUGCUUUGUUAAGAGAAGGUGAUAUCAAGGAUGUAUACAGGUUAACCACUAUUUCUGAGGAGACCAGUAAAGAGGUGACGACUCUUGUUCAGUUGGAAGCAAUUUCCAAAGGAAGGGCAGGAAAUUCUCACUUAGUUUGCCACGGUUUAUGCUCAACCAAAGUAACUCCCACCCCAACGGAGUGUGGAUCAUCGUAUUUUUUUACAGCCAGGUUCAACCCUUAUUAAUGUGAGACCAUAUGACUAUCCAUAUUUUUAGAAGGAUGUCUUAGAACAAUUGGUGAAAGAGAUGACUGCUUUCAAAUUCAUUAGAUCAAGUACAAGUCCGUACUUAUCCUCGGUUUUGUUAGUAAAGAAAAAGGAUGGUACGUGGGGAUUUUGUGUGGAUUACAGGGCACUCAAUGGCAUCACUUUGAAAGAUAGAUUUCCCAUACUGACCAUGGAUGAGCUUUUGGAUGAGUUAGGUCAUGCACAAGUAUUCUCUAAGUUGGAUUUACGCACUGGGUAUCAUCAAAUACAGAUGGAUCAUAGGGAUAUUCAUAAGACGAUUCUCCGAACUCAUGAGGGGCACUAUGAGUUUGUAGUAAUGGUCUUUGGCCUUACUUAUGCUCCGUCGACAUUUCAAGCCGUUAUGAACCAAUUUUAUUUCCUUCCACUCAAAUAAAAUAAUUAAUUUAGAAAAUUAAUUAAUUUAUUUAUAUAUUUCGAAAUUUAUAUUUAAAUAAAUAUAUUCUUGAAAAUCUAAUAAUUAAUUCCAAAUUAAUUAUUCAA